UACAAAAAAUGUGUUUUCCAUAUCAAAUGUGCUAAAGCUUUACAGAUGAUUAUUUUAAUUGUGUGCAGGUGAGUCUAGGGAAACUGGAAAAAGUGUGAAAGGGAGUGCUGAGUCAUUUCAUUUUAAAGGUUUGAAAAUCUCAGAACAGCUGUUUGAACAGAAGGUAGAUUGUUAUAUUGUUAGAGAAUGUGUUGUAAAGAACAAUGUUGGGAGAUGUGCACUGAUGUUCAAAUAAACCUACAUUGUAAAGCAACUCCUUCUUGCACUGAAUUACAAGGCUUUACCGAGUAGUGUGCUUUUGUAGACUAUACAUAUAAAGUUCUAACAUGAUUUUAAUAAUAAUUCGUUAAGUGGGCCGGUCUGGGGUCUGAAACUCCAGGGCUGAAAAUGUGUCCCACUCCGGCCCUGCCUAAUAGUUUAAGUUAAUCAUACUAAGUGAUAUCAAUGAGUGUCGGAACAUCUACCUCUGAGAUGCAGCAACAACACGUAUCAUGGUGUAAAGUAAAUAAUACGCUCAUUUAAAGAGAAGUUAAAGAAAUGCCAACAAAAGACACGUGGGCUGUAAACAAUAAGACAUUUCCUAAACAAAAGAGUCAGUCACCUAAAACACAAAGGUACCAAAGAUGGAGCCCUGAGGAACACCACAGGUCAGACUGAGUGUUACCCAGGAUCACUCUGUUUCCAACAGAGAAAAGGAGAUUCUUUAGACUCCUGUUCUGAAACAAGAACAAACCUCCUCACCUCACAAAGAUUUAUAAUGAAGCUGACAGACUGAACCAGGAGGAAGGGCAGCUGAGAGAAGAGAAACUACAGAUGAAGGAGGAGACGGAGAGAUUCAGGGAGGAGCUGAGCUGUUACUGAACUAUAGAACAGACACAAACUUCCACAUUCAACACAGUUCAACAUACAAACCACAAACAUUCACUCUAUUCAACAUGGACUGUUGUGGGCUUUCUCUGCUGGUUGUCACAAUUCUAACAGGAGUCAGCUGUGAACAGCUGACUGCAGUGAAGAAUGAAGAGUCCAGUUUAGAAGGAGCCCCUGUUACUCUGUCCUACAGUUACUCUAAAUUAUCACCUGGUGAUUAUUUCUUCUGGUACCGACAAGAUCCAGGAGAACCUCCAGAGUUCCUGAUCUCUCACCUGGAGUCUGAAGAAAUAAUAAAAGAAUCAAGGUCAGGAUUUUUAGUUAAAGUCAGAAAAAAAGAAAAUCAUGUGGACCUGCUGAUCUCCUCUGCUGCAGCGACAGACUCUGCUGUGUACUACUGUGCUGUGAGGCCCACAGUGACAGGAAACAGUAAAAGUGUGUAGAAAACCUGCAGAGCAAAGACAACACAAUACUCCACAACAUCCACUAGAGGGACUCACACACUGGGAACCCACUGGUUGUUGAGUGGUUGGACUGAUGACAAAGACAACAGACACAUGAAGCAGCAGAAACAAGGUGAAGUUGCAGUAAAGCUGGUGGAGUUUAAGUGGUUCAACAUCUUUAAAUUCUGUUUUAUCCAAACUCAGAAGCAGGAAAUGAUUUUAUAACCAUUCUCUAACAGUGGAUAGGCAUUUUCCUAGUUUAAUCAAGUUGUAAGAGCUACCGCGAGAGAGAGAGGGACAGGCAGCGGAAUAACAAUAAAAGUUACAUCAAAUGGACAUAGGAGGCCACCCAGAGGCAGCAGAUAGAUUGAGAACAGCAGUGGGCUCAGUAAAGACCCUUGAGGGACUCCAUGAUUGAACACAAAGGUCUCAGACAUGUCCUUCUGAAUCUGACAUCAUGUGAGCUCCCAGAAAGCUCUGAUUUCAGCCAUAAGUGUGUUUCCUGGUACUCCCAUAUAACGUUCUAGCCUGCCCAGUGGUCUGCUGUGUCAAAAGCAGCAUUUAGAUUCAGCAGCAACAAGACUGGUUUUUAAUCACGGUCCACCUUAAACAAGUUCUU